GUCAGGAUGGCCGAGCGGUCUAAGGCGCUGCGUUCAGGUCGCAGUCCACUUUGUGGGCGUGGGUUCGAAUCCCACUUCUGACA
rfam:Dufourea novaeangliae contig2459, whole genome shotgun sequence.